AGUGAACGCUGGCGGCAGGCCUAACACAUGCAAGUCGAGCGGCAGCACGGCAAUAGCAAUAUUGUGGGUGGCGAGCGGCGGACGGGUGAGGAAUGCAUCGGGAUCUACCCUGUCGUGGGGGACAACGUAGGGAAACUUACGCUAAUACCGCAUGAUCUGGAGACAGCAAAGCCGGGGACCUUCGGGCCUGGCGCGACGGGAUGAGCCGAUGUCCGAUUAGCUAGUUGGCGGGGUAAAGGCCCACCAAGGCGACGAUCGGUAGCUGGUCUGAGAGGACGACCAGCCACACUGGAACUGAGACACGGUCCAGACUCCUACGGGAGGCAGCAGUGGGGAAUAUUGGACAAUGGGGGCAACCCUGAUCCAGCCAUGCCGCGU
rnacentral:rRNA from 1 species